AAACUACAAGCUCCUCUUUGGCUCUGGGACUAUGCUGUCUGUUAGACCAAACCUCCAGGAUUCUGAUCCUUCUAUCUACAAGCUGAAGUCCCCUGAAACACAUAUUUCAGCCUGUCUUAUCACAGACUACUUCCCUGACAAUGUCAUCAUCACUAACGAAGGAAAGAAUGAAUCACUUCAAAGCUCCAUUAUCGAAGUGAGAAACCCAGAGAGCAACAAGAAGGAAGCCAGCUAUGGAGGAGUGCAUUGGUUCGAAUCUAACUUUGAUGGUUUCGUUAACCAUUCAUUGCACUUCACAUCCAAGUGCUCAGACGAUACCGAAGAUGAGGAAGAUACAUGUACAACCAUGGAGAUGUCUGACAGCUUUGAGACAGAUGAGCAUCUGAACUUGAUGUCCUUCAUGGUACUGGGCAUGAAAGCCAUUUUCCUGAAGGGAGUCGCAUUCAACCUGAUCAUGACCUUCAUUGCAUGGAGGAGCUAAGGUGUGAAAGAAAUGUGAAUAUCUGUGAUCAAGAGUGAUGGGAGUUACCAAAAGCGCUCCUAUCUUCUUCUCACCAGACCAUCCCAUACAGCAACCAAUGAACCCCAUACCAAUGUGUAUUGAUUGUCAACAGUCACCUCUCUACAUGCAGCUCACCGUAUAUAAUGUUCAAGAAGUGCUUUUAAUUUAGUAUGCUUCAUAAGGACCUUGCUGAUUGUUUAAAAACCCUCAUUACUCUCAACUCCCAUGUGCUGACCAAUGCAUCUUCACUACCUUCCUGUGUGAGGCAAGGAACUGUUAAUUUGGACUUGUCAGGUGUUGUCAAAAAAGCUUUUUUCAAUGGAAAAAUCCUGGAUUUUUUCCUCAUUGAAUGAGGAAUUUUUCAAUUUCAAUCCUCAUUAAAUUGCCACUUUGUAGAAAGUGUCUUUUCAGGCAGGGAAUAAUUGUUUGCUGUUGAAAGCCUACAAAGCUGAAGAAAGUGACUUAGAACCAACUUUUUAAUCAUACUUUGACAUUUCAGCCAAAUGUGUUUGGGGCGGAAACGUUUACUUUCCAAUGAUCUUGCAAAAAUCAAGCAAUUGAGAAAAAGAUCUCCAAAAGCAUGUGUAGGUGGGUGGGGUUCACUGAAAGAAAAAAACCAUGGGGGAGGAAACCAUUUUGAAACUGAAAGGGGAAUAGAUGCAUAGAAAGAUUCAAAUUUUCAAUGGGCACUGACUCCCCACUGAAAUUAAUGCUGAAUUUCUCAUUCCAGUCCAAAACACAGCCUCAAAUCCUCUGUCCCUGGCAGAAUUUUCAAAAGGGAAUCAGGAGACAACCUGCACUUGAAAUUCAAUGGAUGGGAUUUGGACAGGCAGUUUUUGUGGGCUCCUGUGCAAAUUGCUAGCCAGUAGUUUCCUAACAGCCCCAGGCUUUUUAAAGCAGAUGGUUUGAAAUUGAAAUUGGAUAAUUUCAGACUGAAAAUUAAGCCUCGUUGUGCACAACAUGUAAAGAGCAAUUAGGCAGUGGAACACCUUAGGGAUGGGGUGGAUUCUCUGAGACUUGCAGCUUUUCAGCCAGCAGCAGGUGUCUUUCCAAGAGCCAAGUGUUAGCUCAACUGGGAGAUUACAUCUUGAGACAGAAGUCAGGAGUGAAUAGAAAUCCCUUUGCUUGCUUCUUGCAGAUCAGAAUGGGGGCAUAUCACAGCACUGUCUGGCCCUGAUGACUAUCGGAGCACAUACACAUGCAUACUCAUGCACAAUAUCACAUACAUGCUUCGUAACCAACUCUCCAACCAUUGACUAUUCAGAGUCUGAGCUAGAUUCUUUGCUGGUGUGAUUCAGCUUAAUUGCACUGAUUUUUAGCAAACUUCUGAAAUACAUGCUUUCAUCAAGGACAAGUUAUCAGGCUCAUUACAAGGGACUAGAUAGUUUAGUAAUUUCUUCUGAUUGACACCAUUCAUAGAGACCAACACCAGUUUAGGAUUUCCCUCUCUUCCUCUCCCCUUUUUUUCUUUUUUAGUCCUAUUUUUGUUAUCUGUUCUCUAGCUCUCAACCAUAGACUUUUGCAGGUAUAUCGUUUAUCAUUUUUAGAGUUGUAUAAACUAUGCAUAUCUACUCAUGUUUAGCCUUUAAAAAAAGAAGUAUAGUUAUUCAUAUGAAUUUUUUAUUCCUGCUCAGAGUCUUUGUAUUGCACCAAUGAGAUCACCAUAUACUGUCUUUUAUUCUACCUGGUGCCAUGCGCCGCUAUUAAAGAUCUUUGUUGAUUA